UACGUAGGGGGCUAGCGUUGUCCGGAUUUAUUGGGCGUAAAGAGCGUGUAGGCGGCCAGGUAGGUCUGGUGUGAAAACUCGAGGCUUAACCUCGAGAUGUCAUCGGAAACCAUCUGGCUAGAGUCCGGAAGAGGAGAGUGGAAUUCCUGGUGUAGCGGUGAAAUGCGUAGAUAUUGGGAGGAACACCAGUGGCGAAGGCGGCUCACUGGACCGGAACUGACGCUGAGGCGCGAAAGCGUGGGGAGCAAACAGG
rnacentral:rRNA from 1 species